AACGAACGCUGGCGGCGCGCCUAAUACAUGCAAGUCGAGCGAGAAGACGUAGCAAUACGUUUGUAAAGCGGCGAACGGGUGAGGAAUACAUGGGUAACCUACCCUCGAGUGGGGAAUAACUAGCCGAAAGGUUAGCUAAUACCGCGUACGCUCCUUGGACUUCGGUUCAGGGAGGAAAGCGAUACCGUGGGUAUCGCGCUCUUGGAUGGGCUCAUGUCCUAUCAGCUUGUUGGUGAGGUAACGGCUCACCAAGGCUUCGACGGGUAGCUGGUCUGAGAGGACGAUCAGCCACA
rnacentral:rRNA from 1 species